GACGAACGCUGGCGGCGUGCUUAACACAUGCAAGUCGAACGGAAAGGCCCUGCUUUUGUGGGGUGCUCGAGUGGCGAACGGGUGAGUAACACGUGAGUAACCUGCCCUUGACUUUGGGAUAACUUCAGGAAACUGGGGCUAAUACCGGAUAGGAGCUCCUGCUGCAGGGUGGGGGUUGGAAAGUUUCGGCGGUUGGGGAUGGACUCGCGGCUAAUCAGCUUGUUGGUGGGGUAGUGGCUUACCAAGGCUUUGACGGGUAGCCGGCCUGAGAGGGUGACCGGCGACAUUGGGACUGAGAUACGGACCAGACUGCUACGGGAGGCAGCAGUGGGGAAUAUUGCACAAUGGGCGGGAGUCUGAUGCAGCAACGCCGCGUGCGGGAUGACGGCCUUCGGGUUGUAAACCGCUUUCGCCUGUGACGAAGCGUGAGUGACGGUAAUGGGUAAAGAAGCACCGGCUAACUACGUG
rnacentral:rRNA from 1 species